UUAUGUAUAAUUGGUGUGCACCCAAACAAGCCAGUCGUUGUCUUCACCUCUCUGCCUUUGCCAGGGGAUCCUGAGGGGGAUACGAGCGAUUAAAGGACCGGAAUACAAACAUUCUUUGGCAUACAAUUAUGUUUUAGAUCAAUUCUGUAAAAAACAGAUCACUGGGGAGAGAUAUUGUCUUGCUCAGGAGGAGGCCCUCUAUGCUUCGCACAGCUACCUCUGUCUGCUCAUCUCCACACGGCAACACAUGGCUCUCUACGACAUCUACCAUGGGAAAGGGCAGCAUGACACAGAGGAGAUGGCAGGAAUUGUGGGACUCAGGCUGCCCGCCCAGCCUGGGGGAAGGGCUGGGAGAAGUGAAGGAAGGGAGAAGACUCUCAUACCACACCAGAGGGUUGUAAAAUCAUCACGCUGGACCUAAUGCUAUUUUGCUCUUUUAUAAAACAGAGGAAGAGAUGAAGGCUGCUAUGAACAAGGACUGUGAUUUGUUAUUAUACCAGGGAGGAUUAAAGCUAUUAGAAAUAUGAGAUUCACAGCUCUCCCUACCACCCCUCACUUUGUGUCUGUCUUGAGACAAUGGCUGUAAUUAAAAUAUUUGUAAAUAAUGGGACAACUUUUGCCAAUUAAAGUAUGAAUCACUUUUAUCAGGUCA